rnacentral:ncRNA from 1 species
UAUGGCGUCGCAGUUUCUUUAGUGAACUGCGGCGUGAAUGCGAGUUCCAAGUGGGCCAUUUUUGGUAAGCAGAACUGGCGCUGUGGGAUGAACCAAACGUGGAGUUAAGGUGCCUAACUUCUCGCUUAUGAGACCCCAUAAAAGGUGUUGGUUGAUAUUGACAGCAGGACGGUGGCCAUGGAAGUCGGUACCCGCUAAGGAGUGUGUAACAACUCACCUGCCGAAUCAACUAGCCCUGAAAAUGGAUGGCGCUUAAGCGAGAGACCUAUACUCCGCCGUCGCGGCAUGUGCGUUGUCUAGCGCCAGGUCGCGACGAGUAGGAAGGACGUGGCGGUUGCGUUGAAGGCUAUGAGCGUAGGCUCGGCUGGAGCUUCCGUCAGUGCAGAUCGUAAUGGUAGUAGCAAAUAUUCAAGUUCGAUCCUUGAAGACUGAAGUGGAGAAGGGUUCCGCGUGAACAGUAGUUGGAUGUGGGUCAGUCGAUCCUAAGGUACUGGCGAAAGCCUUGUAUCAUCGGUGGCGAAAAGCUUGCUUUUUGUCCCCGCCCGUCGAAAGGGAAUAGGGUUAAUAUUCCCUAACUGAGAUGCAAAGAUUGUGUUCUUCGGAGCACAAGCGCGGUAACGCGUUCGAACUUGGUAAGUCGCUCAGAGACCGAGCUAGAGUUUUCUUCUCUAGUUAAGGAACGGACUCCCUGGAAUUGGUUCAGCCAGAGAUGGGGACGUUGUUUCCGAAAAGCACCGCGGUUUCUGUGGUGUCUCGUGCUCUCUGAACGGCCCUUUAAACACCAAGGGAGGCUAUUAAUUUGCACUCAAUCGUACCGAUAUCCGCAUUAGGUCUCCAAGGUGAACAGCCUCUAGUCGAUAGAAUAAUGUAGGUAAGGGAAGUCGGCAAACUAGAUCCGUAACUUCGGGAAAAGGAUUGGCUCCAGUGGUCGGAACGGUUGGCCAGUUGGUUGAUGCUUGUCCGGCGCUGUUCUGUCUGCUUGAUGCUUUCGGGCUGAUGGCGGCCUAGUGAUAGUGCUUGCUUGUUGACGCUUUCUGGUGUGUGCUUUGACCUCGGUCUUAGUAUCCUGAUCGUUCAUCUAAACGACUAAACUGGAACCGGUACGGACUCAGGGAAUCCGACUGUCUAAUUAAAACAGAGGUGACAGAUGGUCCUUGCGGACGCUGACUGUCACUG